UAUGAGCUUUCGUGUACAUGCACACUUCUUCAGAUACCACACUUCUUCAGAUACCGUAUCUGAAGAAGUGUGCAUGCACACGAAAGCUUAUA